UGCUCUCGGGUGACGAGCGGCGGACGGGUGUAUUAAUGUCUGGGAAACUGCCUGAUGGAGGGGGAUAACUACUGGAAACGGUAGCUAAUACCGCAUAAUGUCGCAAGACCAAAGUGGGGGACCUUCGGGCCUCAUGCCAUCAGAUGUGCCCAGAUGGGAUUAGCUAGUAGGUGGGGUAACGGCUCACCUAGGCGACGAUCCCUAGCUGGUCUGAGAGGAUGACCAGCCACACUGGAACUGAGACACGGUCCAGACUCCUACGGGAGGCAGCAGUGGGGAAUAUUGCACAAUGGGCGCAAGCCUGAUGCAGCCAUGCCGCGUGUGUGAAGAAGGCCUUCGGGUUGUAAAGCACUUUCAGCGGGGAGGAAGGCGAUAAGGUUAAUAACCUUGUCGAUUGACGUUACCCGCAGAAGAAGCACCGGCUAACUCCGUGCCAGCAGCCGCGGUAAUACGGAGGGUGCAAGCGUUAAUCGGAAUUACUGGGCGUAAAGCGCACGCAGGCGGUCUGUCAAGUCGGAUGUGAAAUCCCCGGGCUCAACCUGGGAACUGCAUUCGAAACUGGCAGGCUAGAGUCUUGUAGAGGGGGGUAGAAUUCCAGGUGUAGCGGUGAAAUGCGUAGAGAUCUGGAGGA
rnacentral:rRNA from 1 species